rnacentral:rRNA from 1 species
GCGGCGUGCUUCAUACAUGCAAGUCGAACGAGAAGCAGGAGCUUGCUCCUGUGGAAAGUGGCGGACGGGUGAGUAACACGUAGGAAAUCUGCCUUUGGGUGGGGGACAACAGUUGGAAACGACUGCUAAUACCCCAUAUGAGCUUGGUUGCAAUACCAAUCUUGAAAACUCCGGUGCCUAAAGAUGAGCCUGCGUCUGAUUAGCUUGUUGGCGGGGUAAUGGCCCACCAAGGCGACGAUCAGUAGCUGGUUUGAGAGGAUGAUCAGCCACAAUGGGACUGAGACACGGCCCAUACUCCUACGGGAGGCAGCAGUAGGGAAUUUUGCGCAAUGGGGGAAACCCUGACGCAGCAACGCCGCGUGAAUGACGAAGCCCUUCGGGGUGUGAAGUUCUGUCAGUAGGGAAGAAUUUUGACUGUACCUACAAAGGAAGCACCGGCUAACUCCGUGCCAGCCGCCGCCGUAA